rnacentral:rRNA from 1 species
UCGAGAAUCAUUCACAAUGGGCGAAAGCCUGAUGGUGUGACGCCGCGUGGAGGAUGACGGUCUUCGGAUUGUAAACUCCUGUCAUGAGAGAGUAAAGCCGGGGGUUAACUGCCCGCCGGUCUGAGAGUAUCUCAAGAGGAAGAGACGGCUAACUCUGUGCCAGCAGCCGCGGUAAUACAGAGGUCUCAAGCGUUGUUCGGAAUCACUGGGCGUAAAGGGUGCGUAGGCGGCGCGGAAAGUCAGGGGUGAAAUCCCGGAGCUCAACUCCGGAACUGCCUUUGAUACUCCCGUGCUUGAGUGCUGGAGAGGAGUUCGGAAUUCACGGUGGAGCAGUGAAAUGCGUGGAUAUCGUGAGGAACACUAGUGGCGAAGGCGGAACUCUGGACAGUUACUGACGCUGAGGCACGAAGGCCAGGGGAGCAAACGG